UCUGGCUGUGGCCAUGUGGAGACAUGCCCCCCCCCACCUCCGCCGCUGGCCUCAGUGGCCACAGCCUGCAGGCCUGGGGUUUCGCCCCAGCUCCGAGGGGACAGGCAGCCUCAGCAAACCAAUCCCCAGAUGUGAGAGGGGACCUCGGGCAGAAGCAGACUCAGCGGUGCUCGGCCGCCUUGGGCAGAGCCCAGCACCACACUUAGCUGUGAAGUCACAGCUGCGUGGGCCUUGUAAUGGGAGAGUGAGGACAAAGGAGAGCGCGCCGCAGGUCUGCGCAGCCGCGGGUCCCCCAGCCUCCAGUGCCGCCGGAGCUGCCUCCCCAGAGCUGCCUCCGGCCUCCUCCAGCCGGGACCCCAGUGGCCUCCAUCACACCUCACUCGCUACCUGUGGGGGCCGGAGCUGGUUUCAUGCCGAAAGCCAGCCGCAUGUGUUAGCUUCGACGAGCUUAAAGAGCAUAAAGCUACGAUGAAACUUUAGAAAAUGCCGCAUUGGCCUGAAGCUGACCAGUUAGGAGUGGGGGCGGCAGCAGAGACCCCGCACCCAGGCUGCGGGCUAGGGGCGGCUGGGCCGGCGCAGCGCCACUCUGCCCUCGUCCAGCCCAGGUCUGCGGGCAGCACUGGGGAGCCCAGUCAUGCUUCAGGCCCGCGGCCCGCAGUCAGGCAGUGAAGGCGGCAUCGCUUUGUGUUGCAGAAGAUGCCUCAGAGCAGCGUCCGGUCCGCAGAGCAAGGACACGCCCCCGGGCUGUGACACCACCCACGCGGACAGUCCGGCGCUGGGCUCGGCAUGUGGAUAGCGGCUGGAGAGCCCCAAACGCAGGAGUGGCUGGGGACGGGCGCGCGCCCGGCUAAGCAGUCGCGCACACACAAACCGAGCAGGAGGCGACAGACAGCCCCGGCAGGACGUGCUCCGGGCACAGGCCCCAUUUCCAGCUGCUCCAUUGGCGGCGUGCAGGCCUACCUCAAACAUGCACGUUUCCAAGCUGACCCACGACAGAGGGAGUGUGGCCCAGUCAUGGCCAGUGAGCGGCCCCCUGAGCCCCUGAACACCACGGGGUGGGGUAAGGCCCAGCCAUGAGCAGUGACCACGGUUCUGACGAGCGGCCUGUGGAGUUCCUGCAGCGCCCACGUCCCACGCCAGACGCCAGGUCAGGACCAGCCGGGAUAGAGCUGCAUGUGGAGCUGCCUCUCCUUCCGCGCCAGCUCGUAGUACUUCGCCUGCUCUUCCCGGGACAGGGCGUGCCACUGCGGGGCAAGCGACAGGUCACACGCGCGUGGAGGCCCCGAGCUGGACUCCCCUUCGCUCUCCCGUUCUCCACUACCAGGAGACAGGCGCCCGCUGCCGCCCACCGCAGGCCCAGCCCGGCCGUCCAGGCGUACCUCCCACACACAGCAGCAGUGGCGAGCGUGGGGCUGGGGGUGCAGCUCGCGCACUGCAAACUCCAGCGCCACCGGGCGGCUCCAAAGCCACAUCUCUCUCCUUGGCAUCUGUCUGCCGCACGCGCCUGGCCUCGGGCACCCCCAGCCAGCAGACCCUCCCAGAGAGCUGCGUGGCCGCCAGCCCCAGGGGGCUCCCCGUCUUCCUGCGGAGUCUCACCCUGUGUUCUGCCUGCUGAUUCUUACUCUGUUCUUGUGUAAAAAGGUCAAGAAAAACCCAAAGGGAGAGGAAGUCGCAUCUGGGUCCUCGUGGACCUGGGCCCCACCCCGAGUCCCUGCGCUGGAGAGGUCGGCCCGACUGACAGGUGCAGACACAUAGGCGGGCCCAGGCCCAGCCAAGGGAUGGUCGUUUUAUUCACAGACCGAACAGUUAGCUGGGGCCCAGGCCAAACCUGGCUCCCCCAACCCGGCCCUGGUCCUAGAGAUGAGGGUCAGCACCGGAGCUGAGGAAGGUGAAUAAACAAACGUGGCUGACAACAACAACAGAGGUGAGAGGAAGGGAGACUUCCACGUUUUGUUCCCCUCGCCUCUCGGUACACAGUUUGUGUCAUCACCACAGCCUUGGAGAGGUGCCUGUGUCUGCCGCACAGCGACCCAGGGAGGUGCUGAGCUGACCACAGGCAGGAGCCAGCCCCAGCCUCUGACAUUUCUGAUGAUCAACCACUCUGUGCAAGAUCAUUUACCAGAGGGAAGCAGCAGGUGACGUGACGGUCAGUCUCGCGUGCCAACCAGAAAGCCGCCCUCCCCACCAGAGUUCCCGAGACACAAUCAACACGGCUGUAACUUCCGUCAACAACAGAAAGAGGCAACACUGCUCAAUUUAAAAGCCAGGAGCUUCACAGACCCAGCGAGGACGCUCCUGCCAGCAGCCGGCCAUGGAAGGACAGAAAGCCUGAUGCCAUCAGAGCUCUCAAAGCCCUGGAAGCAGACACAGGCACUGAUCACGCCAGACAGCCUGCCGCCCACCAUCUCGCCGCCGGAUGGAUGCUGACCUGUGCUAGGUGUAACAGACACGCUCAAACGCGGCUCCCUGCUGCUGCCGAGAGACCUGCCUCGUCCUCUGGAUGGUCUCCUGCACUCGACUGGGCAGGACGUCGCCAUCAACUUAGCAUCAAGUAAGAUGAACCGUUUCUAGAAUGGUCAUGUAUCCGCAGCACAAUGUAAUCAGAAAGAGGUCAGAACUUUUCUACUCACACCACUGCAAUCCUGAGAAAAGCCCCUGAAAACACAGACCAGACCCUGGCUGGAGGCCAGCUGGAGCCUGCUGCCGGGCGCCGACAGAGGGCGGCGGGGCACUCAGCGUCUCCUGACUCCGUCACUGUCAUCGCACAAAUCAGAUGGUGACUGGAGCCAAAUGGACUCGUAAGCAUGUCAACUCUUUUACCUCAGUCUUCCAGAA